AUUGAACGCUGGCGGCAUGCCUUACACAUGCAAGUCGAACGGUAACGCGGGGCAACCUGGCGACGAGUGGCGAACGGGUGAGUAAUGCAUCGGAACGUGCCCAGUAGUGGGGGAUAGCCCGGCGAAAGCCGGAUUAAUACCGCAUACGACCUAAGGGUGAAAGGGGGGGAUCGCAAGACCUCUCGCUAUUGGAGCGGCCGAUGUCAGAUUAGGUAGUUGGUGGGGUAAAGGCCUACCAAGCCGACGAUCUGUAGCUGGUCUGAGAGGACGACCAGCCACACUGGGACUGAGACACGGCCCAGACUCCUACGGGAGGCAGCAGUGGGGAAUUCUGGACAAUGGACGCAAGUCUGAUCCAGCCAUGCCACGUGCGGGAAGAAGGCCUUCGGGUUGUAAACCGCUUUUGUCAGGGAAGAAAUCUUCUGGGUUAAUACCUCGGGAGGAUGACGGUACCUGAAGAAUAAGCACCGGCUAACUACGUGCCAGCAGCCGCGGUAA
rnacentral:rRNA from 1 species